CUGACAGAAAUUGUGAUGUGUUAAACGGGAGAUCUGAGCCUCAUAUUUACGACGAGGUUUCUGAGCCUAAAACUGAUCAUACCCGACCAUACAUCAACAUCGCCUUGACCGAGGAUAAGCAUACCUACAUAGAGGUCAUUGAGAACAACUGAUUGCAUUAACUUAUUUUUAUUAAAUCUGACAUGUAGAAAGGGCGUUAGAAAUGUACAUGUUGCCCUAAUUGCAUGCUUGUUAAAGACGACUAAAUGUUUGAUUUAAUCUUUUUUCUUCUUUCCUGAAAAAUAUUUUCUUCUUCCUUAUGUCUCCCUUGACAAUGCCUCACGUCUGGCCUUUAGUUGAGCGUUCGCCCCUGCGAGAAAGGCUUUUGGUUCUGUCCCAUGGGCGUUACAUAAUGGAGUCUUUAAAAACGCUAGUUGCUACUCCUGCUUAGCGGUCAGUAUGUUAGGAAUUGGACGACUUUUUUACCUGCUGUCAGUAUGAUGUGACCGGGUAGGGUGUCCUGCUGGAUAUCUUCGGCAGCAUGGUUCAGCGAGGUAGCACUAUAAAGUCGGCAUCAGUUCCGCACUCACACAAAGAGACGAACAGAUACCACAGUCUCCCAAACCACACACCAUAUACUUCACGCAUGCAUCUUGUACACAGAAAUGACCUUAUAUGUUUAUAGGACGCACUAAAAACUAAGCAAAACUAAAAAUCAUAUUGAAUCAAUGUACUUUUCCACAACCAUUUAGAGGUAGAUGUAUUUCUAAUGAUAACAAAUACCAUGGAAAACAGACUAAAUAUAGUAUUUACUUGUUACAACCGUGUAUAUAUCUUCCUCAUGCUGAAUUGUAUUACAGAAUGCAAACUAAAUUCGAUACUGUCAUGUUACAACCGUGUAUAUGUAUAUUCGUCAUGCUAAUUGAUAACAUAGUAAACAGACUGAAUUUGGUAUUGUCACAUUACAACCGUGUAUAUGUAUUCCUCAUAUUUAUUGAUGUCAUAGAAAACUUAGACUUAAAUCGAAAGAACGAAUAAACUUUUAGUUGACAAAAUCAUUGUUCAGUGUGGUGGCAAGAUUACUGGAAUAUCCAUUUAAAAAUUUGGUUAUAAAAGAAGCCUCAUAGUUAAAAUAGACAGUUAUGAGUUAGCUUCCUAAUUAAACUACAUAGUUAUAAACUAGCUCCCUAGUUAAAAUAGAUAGUUAUGAGUUAGCUUCCUAAUUAAACUAAAUAGAUAUAAACUAGCUCCCUAGUUAAACAAGAUAGUUAUAAACUGACAUCCUACUUAAACUAGACAGUUACAAACUAAUCUCUUAAUUCAACUAGAUUUGUAUCAACUAGACCCCUAGUUAAAACACCUUUGAACUCUAUCAUCACUGAGGAGCCAUGGAAAGACGAAACCACUGUAAGAUACAUUUUAAUUCUUGGUAUCAACACUUUUGCCGCUUAGAAUCACUGAUGAGUCCUAGAAGGACGGAAGCUGUAGGAUUUAGUUUAAUUCUACGUAUCAAAGGUGUUAGGACCUUAGCAUCUAAACGAUAAAAAAAGAUGUAUGGUGGUCUUAUCGUCAGUGACUCGUCCUAGAAGUUCUGAACAGUUGUUUGAUGUCCCUAAUAUCUCUGACGAGUCCUAGAAGGAUGGAACUGUUGUAUGACGUCCCUAGCAUCUAUGAUGAGUCCUACAUUGACGGAACUGCUGUAUGGAAUCCCUAACAGCACUGACGAGUCCUAGAAGUAGGGAACAGCUGUAUGAUGUCCCUAACAGCAUUGGCGAGUCCUAGAAGUACGGUACAACUGUAUGAUGUCCCUAACAGCACUGACGAGUCCUAGAAGUAGGGAACAACUAUAUGAUGUCCCUAACAGCAUUGGCGAGUCCUAGAAGUAGGGAACAACUAUAUGAUGUCCCUAAGCCUUUGACUUUGUUAAUCGCAAAACUUGUUGUAUAAAAUGAUUAAGGAAGGGAUUGAGGGGAAAUAUU